rnacentral:rRNA from 1 species
CCUACGGGAGGCAGCAGUGGGGAAUAUUGGGCAAUGGGCGCAAGCCUGACCCAGCAACGCCGCGUGAAGGAAGAAGGCUUUCGGGUUGUAAACUUCUUUUGACAGGGAAGAGCAGAAGACGGUACCUGUCGAAUAAGCCACGGCUAACUACGUGCCAGCAGCCGCGGUAAUACGUAGGUGGCAAGCGUUGUCCGGAUUUACUGGGUGUAAAGGGCGUGUAGCCGGGCUGACAAGUCAGAUGUGAAAUCCGGGGGCUCAACCCCUGAACUGCAUUUGAAACUGUUGGUCUUGAGUAUCGGAGAGGCAGGCGGAAUUCCUAGUGUAGCGGUGAAAUGCGUAGAUAUUAGGAGGAACACCAGUGGCGAAGGCGGCCUGCUGGACGACAACUGACGGUGAGGCGCGAAAGCGUGGGGAGCAAACAGGAUUAGAUACCCUAGUAG